CACCACUGUACUUUGAAAUUAUUUAUAUUUUGUUGACCAUGCACUUUAAAAAUUAUUUUUAUUUUUAUUCAAGUAAAGAUCAGAAUUUUCUUGUUCAAGAACCUUGUUUAUAGCUUUUAAUCUUCUCUGUGAAAAAAUGAUGCAAAGAAGAGUCCAGAACCUCGAUUUAUUUUCUUGUCAAAUAGACAAAGGUGACAACGAACUGGGGCUUUGUACUUGUAUCUUCUUUGAUCCAGCAGAUGAGGAUGGAAAGGAACCAGGGGUUUUUAUAACUGAAAUUAUUGAAGGAGGUGCAGUUCACAAACUUGGAUGUAUCCGUGUAUUUGACCAGAUUAUUAAAAUAGGUGACAUCAAUCUAAUUGGAUUGGAUGAAGCAGAAAUCAUCUCUACUUUUAAAAAAAUGGACGAUUCUCCUUUCCAGAUUGAAAUUGGCCGCGAACCACCUGAAGUCAAGUCAGAACUUAUAGUACGCCUCAAGUUGUCAGAGGAAAGGAAGAAAUAUUUUAUGAAUUCACUCAUAGUACAGGAAAAAAUUGGAGAUAUCACUAUUGUGAGAGGACAAGCAAGUAUUUGUACAACUUCAAGAGAACCAUGGUACUGGAUGGCUAGUAACCUGAAAUUUGUUAUUGGGGCACUGAAAAUAUUAAUAGAAGAAGAUCAGGGAUGUAGAAAAGACUUCCAAGCUAUCUUUGAGCAGGCUAACUUUUUUCAAGACAAAUAUAGAGACAUGAACACAUACAAUGUGAAUAUGGAACAGAAACCUGAUGAAUCAGAUAAAGAAGGCACAUUUUUACCAUUGGCCCCAGAAGAAGAAUUAUUACUAGGACAAUUUAAAAUAAAGCCUAAAGAGAUAAAAAAUGAAGAUUUAUCACCAGGGCAAUUAUUAGCCCAAGGGGAUUUCAAUUCAGGUGUGAAAAAUGAGGCACAGAGAAGAUAUUCAGAUAGUUACCUUCCCAGCGGUGACUUCAUGGCUUCUGGCUCUAAAAGCAAUAGCAAAGAGACCCCAAUAAAAAAAGAAAAAGAAGAAGAUGAAAUAGUAGUGGAGGAAGAGAUUAUUAGCACUGGAAAACCUACAGAGGGAAAGGCUAAAAAGGGAUUUUCCUGGUUCCGCAAUAUCAAAGAACGCAAGCUGUGGAACUUCUUUCAUUUUAAAAAACAUGACAAACAAGUAAAGAAUGUGCACAAGUGGGAAGAAAUUGAUCAAGAGGUAUUGGAAGAUUACUGUCCUUAUUCUACUGAAGCCCCUAAAACAUUGCCAACAGAGUGGACAAAUAUUGAAGUUGGUAAUUGGUUAUGGAGCAUUGGAAUGGAGGAGUAUGUUGUAAAAUUUUAUUGUAAAGGAAUAACUGGUGAAAAACUCCUUACACUGGACAAUCAGUCGCUAAAAGAAAUCGAAGUCAACAAGAAGAAAGACCGCCGGAAAAUACUUAAGGCUAUUAAGAAAGUUAGAGAUUUUUGGGAAAAAAAUCAUCAUUUCGUCUUAUUAUAGAAAUUGAUGGAAAGAAGACACAGAACCAGAAAGAUGGCAAAAAUGGAAAAUGCAAUUACUUUUGUUAUAUUGAAUUUUCAUCAUUUUACUUCUGUUACUUUUGCUAUAUGAACUUUUAAGGGAUUUUACUUCCAUGUUACUUUUGUUAUAUGAACUUUUAAGGGAUUUUACUUCCAUGUUACUUUUGUUAUUAUUAACUUUUAAUCAUUUCACUUCUAUGUUACUUUUGUUAUAUGAACUUUUAAGGAAUUUACUUCUGUUACUUUUGUUAUAUGAACUUUUAAGGAAUUUACUUCCAUGUUACUUUUGUUAUAUGGACUUUUAAUCAUUUUAUUACUGUUACUUUUGUUAUUAUUAACUUUUAAUCAUUUCACUUUCAUGUUACAUUUGUUAUAUGAACCUUUAAGGGAUUUUACUUCCAUGUUACUUUUGUUAUAUGAACUUUUAAGGGAUUUUACUUCCAUGUUAUUUUUGUUAUUGUUAACUUUUAAUCAUUUCAGUUCUAUGUUACUUUUGUUAUAUGAACUUUUAAGGGAUUUUACAUCCAUGUUACUUUUGUUAUAUGAACUUUUAAGGGAUUUUACUUCCAUGUUAAUUUUGUUAUAUGAACUUUUAAUCAUUUUAUUACUGUUACUUUUGUUAUCAUUAACUUUUAAUCAUUUCACUUCCAUGUUACUUGUUAUAUGAACUUUUAAUCAUUUUAUUACUGUUACUUUUUUUUAUUAAUUUUUAAUCAUUUCACUUUCGUGUUACAUUUGUUAUAUGAACCUUUAAGGGAUUUUACUUCCAUGUUACCUUUGUUAUAUGAACUUUUAAUCAUUUCAUUUUCAUGUUACUUUUGUUAUAUGAACUUUUAAGGGAUUUUACUUCCAUUUUACUUUUGUUAUAUGAACUUUUAAUCAUUUUAUUACUGUUACUUUUGCUAUAAUUAACUUUUAAUCAUUUCAUUUUCAUGUUACUUUUGUUAUAUGAACCUUUAGGGAUUUUACUUCCAUUUUAC
ensembl:lncRNA